rnacentral:rRNA from 1 species
UACAGAGGGUGCGAGCGUUGUCCGGAAUCACUGGGCGUAAAGGGCGCGUAGGUGGCUCGUUAAGCGUGUGGUGAAAGCCUGGGGCUCAACCCCAGGUCUGCCGUGCGAACUGGCGAGCUUGAGCAGAGUAGAGGCGGGUGGAAUUUCGGGUGUAGCGGUGGAAUGCGUAGAUAUCCGAAAGAACACCGGUGGCGAAAGCGGCGUGCUGGACACCUUCUGACGCUGAGGCGCGAAAGCCAGGGGAGCGAACGGG